rnacentral:rRNA from 1 species
UGGCUGCGGUAACCUGACCGUGCAAAGGUAGCAUAAUCAUUAGUUUUUUAAUUGGAAGCUGGUAUGAAAGGUCGGAUGAGGGAAUUACUGUCUCUGUGUAAAUUAAUUAAAAUUUUAUUUUUAAGUAAAAAAGCUUAAAUUUUUAUGGUAGACGAGAAGACCCUAUAGAGUUUUAUUUACUUUUAUUAGAAUGAUUGUUUAGUAUUUAGUAAUUUUUCUUAUAAAAUUUAAUUUGGUUGGGGUGAUUGAAAAAUUUAAGAAACUUUUUUUUAUAAUAUCAUUGAUUUAUGAGUAUAUGAUCCUUUUUUUUAGAUUACAAGAUUAAAUUACCUUAGGGAUAACAGCGUAAUCUUUUUAAAGAGUUCAAAUCGAAAAAAGGGGUUGCGACCUCGAUGUUGGAUUAAAAUUUAUUUUUGGUGUAGGAGCUAAA